UCCGUAGGUGGCAAGCGUUGUCCGGAUUUACUGGGCGUAAAGAGCGCGCAGGCGGUCGUUCAAGUCGCGUGUGAAAGCCCCCGGCUCAACUGGGGAGGGUCACGCGAUACUGAUCGACUCGAAGGCAGGAGAGGGAAGUGGAAUUCCCGGUGUAGUGGUGAAAUGCGUAGAUAUCGGGAGGAACACCAGUGGCGAAGGCGACCUCCUGGCCUGUUCUUGACGCUGAGGCGCGAAAGCUAGGGGAGCAAACGGG
rnacentral:rRNA from 1 species